rnacentral:lncRNA from 1 species
AGUUAUUAUGAGCUCAACUGCUUAAGUAUAGUACGUAGCUUAGUAUGCUAUUAUUCAGAUGCUGUUAACCCCUCCAGGAAAGAUUCAGACACUACUGUGUUAAGUGUUAAAGCGAAGGUGAUCUGAAUAACUGACGCACACUUGCACUAACGUACGACAGGGCACGCACAGCUCGCUGGCUUGACCCUGGAAACACCAAGCCUUGUCCCGCUCGGCGUCUGAAUUAAAGCCGCCACCUGUUUCGUCUGAAUGCAACGCGACGCUUCCUUCCACCUCCACCACGGCCUCGCAGCUCGUCAAUGAAUCCCAGACAGGUAGCGCCCCUUCCGCGGACUGCUCCUCCACAGCGCCGGAACUGAAAGCACGACGGACGGG